GCCUGGGUGGCUCAGUCCGUUGAGUGUCUGGCUUUGGCUCAGAUCAUGAUCUCAUGGUUUGUGGGUUCGAGCCCCACGUCGGGCU
rfam:Felis catus isolate Cinnamon breed Abyssinian chromosome B1, whole genome shotgun sequence.